CACUCGGAGAAGGUAAUUGAUUGAUCCGAUGUGACUCUCAUAGUAUUUAUCUACACCAUAGCUUUCAAACAUCAUUCUGCUCACCGUGUGUUCUAGUUGUGAUACCAGCAUUGAAUAGGAGUGCAUGAUUUUACUGAACAACCAUGAAAUAUUUUGGGGUUAGAGAGAUGUUAAAUGAUAUGGAUUAGCAUUUUAAGGAUUUUAAAAA
rnacentral:lncRNA from 1 species